ACCCUGAGUGGCACCUCAGGUGGAAGAUACACAAUUUCUAAUGUGCAGCUCAGUGAGGAGGAUAACACAUACAGCUGUGAGCCACAAAAUGUACUUGGAAAUGGACCCGAACAGCCACUGAAGAUCACAGUUAUAGUGCCACCAACAUUCCAGAGUCAGUUAGCAAACAGACAAGCAACGACUGAAAAUGACACUGUGAACUACGCAUGUACAGUUCAAGCCAAACCUGCUGCAAAAGUUGUUUGGAAACUAAAUGGAAAAAAUCUGACAAACCCCACACAUCCAUAUAAUAUCACAACUGAUUUCGUACCAGUUCCAAAUUCUAAACUUUUGAGGACUCUUUCUUAUUUGACCAUUGAUAAAGUAACUUGGCAGCAGAAUGGGACUUUCUCUUGUGUAGCUUACAACAAUGCUGGUCAGAGAAGUCAAACCACAGUUCUUGAAGUGCGCUGUAAGUAUUCAACAAAAUGAAGAGGCAAUUUUGUUUGAA